GCCGGGGUGGCGGAACUGGCAGACGCACGGGACUUAAAAUCCCGGGGGCCCUUAAAGGCCCGUACCGGUUCGAUUCCGGUCUCCGGCACCA
rnacentral:tRNA from 2 species